CCACGAACCCCAGGCCACGGAAGCAGAAUGUGUGAACUUAACUGCUGUGCCACCAGGCCAGCCCCACUAAUAAUCAGCUUUCUGAAGUAAGACUCUCCUAUGUUCUUUUUUUCUUUCUUCCUUUUAUUUCCUAACUUUUGGCUCUUCGUCUUUAGUAAAAAGUGAGCUGGACCAGAGAAAGUCAUUCCAGUUUCCCAUCAUCAGAUCUGUUAAAAUAUGUGAGAAAGAAGCAGGUUGAAACUAUUGACUGAAGUGAAGUGUGUGGCUUUUCGGCAUUAACAGAAAAGCCUCCCCACACUAGGAGAUGAGCUUUCUGAGGAGGUGAGGAAGCAAGAGCCUGUCAGGGGUCUGUGGGGGCAGCCAGCACUGCUUGGGCCCUGCCAACGAGGAAGAAUCUGAACAGGAAACACUUAACACCCCACACCCAGGGAUGGACCUGAGGUCUACACAGCACCCUCCGCAAACUGGCACCAGACAUCCCUCCACCUAUCCUGGAUCACUCACAGGCCCAGACACCCAAGGUAAACCAACGUGAGCAAGUCCUAGAAAUCACAGCGAGCUUCGGAGGGAUAUCUGGCUUCUUGCUGAGACCCCAGGCAAAAAAAAGGUAGCCCAGACAGGGUACAUGAAGCAUCCUACUUGGGUAUCUUGAUGGCAUAUUGAUUUAAUACAGACAAUAGGUGACCACCACAGAGAAAUGAGCCCUGAGGUUGUCUUAUCAGACAGCAAAAUCCAGGAAAGAGACCGGAUACUCUGCUAGGACAGUGCUUAAAUUGACAAAGCAGAGCAUGUCACAAACACAAUAGGAAGUGGCACAGCACAGGGAGAAAAGGGAAAUGAAACAGUCUUCUGCCCACGGCAUCACUCUUUACCGUUUUAAAAUAAAAUUAAGUUUUAAAAAAAAAGCUUCACCAUCCCUCCACCCACCCCAAGCAGUGAGAGAAGUCCACACCCAAACGAGGCAAACAUUUGCAAACACGGACACCACAUAAACUUUUAUUCAAGGGUGGAAAGAGAUUUGAGUCUCUUGGUAUUACAAUGUAAACAAUUUUUCUUUCCAUAUAAGUAUGUGCUGACUCCCAGCUGGCGAGCUGACAUCCUCCACUGGUCCUGUGAAUAGCAGCUCGGGUAGGGGGUGAAGAGUGGCCUGCAACCAAACAAUCGAGGUCUUCAUCCUGGCUCCACUGUUAACUAAUAAGGUAACCCCGAAACACUGUAUAAAAAUGGGAAAGUGGGAGUAUCAUGAGUUUUCAGGGCUUUUUAAAUUUGUGAACCCUUUAUCCAAAUGAUGGUUCUCUCAUGGAGAACCCCAGUAUAUAGAAGACUUCCAAGCAGACAGGCUGGUGAAAGCUGGAAUGGGUGUGGGGUUGGGGGGUGGGGCUCUCCCCUGAGGCUCCUCCUGGAAUCGGGACACAACAGCACAUACCAUGAAAACCACUGAUGACAUCUCUUAAAACUAAAACUCAAUCUUACUGAAAAAAUUCAAACUGAAACCAAAAAAAAGUCAGAGUGGUAUAUAGAGUAAUGGUUUCUAAUGCCUGACUCUUGGUAGGUGGGGCUGGGGGGCGGGGGGGGAGGUGGCAAAGGUAUUACAGGGGGUCCUUCUUUCAUAAGGAUGUAAAUGUCUUACAUAGAUAUGUCUGCCCAUUUUUCCAAAUGAAUUUAUAUGCUGUGAUUAAUAAAACUGAAAUGCAUUUAAAGUGCUACUUGAAUUCAUGAGCAUGUGGGAAUCUAUAAUUUUUUUAAAAUUAAAAAGGAAUCAUCACAUUGGGAACCACUGCUAAAGACAAAGCAACAAUAUUCCACUUGAAUUAAACAAUAAAGGUAAAUCUUCUUUAAAAAAACUGACAGUGCCCUUUUUUAUUUUAAAGACACUACUACCUACAAUAUCAAACUAGUUAGGUUCCCUUCUACUAGCUGUGGCUAUUAGAAUGCUGCUUUUAGAAGGAUUCUGAGGCCGUGUCCAGGCUGGGUAGGAAAGAAAUGUCACCUUAGAUAAGCAUUAGAUAAACACUGUCUGCCACAGCUGUGGAGGGAAUAGGAAGUGGGGGAGGGACACGCGUAUCUGACAUCCAGGGCUAUGCCAGACAAUCAUCUAAGAUGUGAUGGUUAGUGGAGGGCUGAGUUCUAACUCUGAUUCUGUCAUUCCACUAAAUUUAUUAUUAGGCGAAUCACUCAUUCCAGAUUUCCAUUUUGCCAGGUCUAAGGAGUCAUCCUAAUUUCUGAUGCAGAACUUCCAGGGUCAAUUCAGACAGUGAAUGUUAGACUCCUUUAGAAGCCACUGGAGACAACAAAUCCAUCAGAACAGAUCAGGCUGCAGAGAGGAAGGCCAAGUCAGCAAAGGGAACACAAGAAGGAAGAAGCCGGAUCUGAACAUCCCCACGUGUAUGCGUGCUUUCUGCUGGAGGAAUUCCUGGCCUGAAGAGACAGUAUAAACAAAGGCGAUCCGGAGGGAAACAAAUGAUAAGAUAAGUGAAAUCCAAUAACUCCCUCUGUCCUCCCCUCCACCUACUUCCCCAACUUGUUCAUCGGAAAAACAAUCUGAGCUUGGGAGAAUUAAAAUGUAAGCUGUGCUCUCUCGGCUGCUCCAUCCUAAAUCAGGAGGUUAAAGGGGAAGAUAUGCGUCCCUGUAAGGCCAGUGAUUGCUCCCCUCAUAUGCAACCUGGCCGACUGGGAACAACCUCCUUCUGCCACAGAGAGGCGUGAGAGAAGUGGCAAGGAAGCAGUUUAGUGGUCCUCCAGACACAGGUUAUAGUCCAAGGAGUACAGCAGGAGAAGGCGGAGUAUGGAAGAAAGGCAGCUUCAGUCACAGCCUGAAAGAAAUUGGGUCAAACUAAAAAUAAUACAUAUGUUUUUAAUUUUAAAUCAAUCUCUUAGCAGAAAAAGUCACAGGCAAAGCAGUAUCUUGCCAUGGUUCCUGGAACUUCUGUAGCUGGAGGUGUCACCUACUCACAGAAUGUCAAGCCCUAAAUGGGUCAUAGAGGUUUUCUAGUCCAAUUCAAUUCUCUAUUCUUGAUUUUUAAAAGUACAAAAACUUAAUGGCAGGCCCUUCAUUGAACCUUCUGAGAACAUGAUGCAGUCUCAGCCAUGACCUUCAAUUCCAGCACCAUUCAUUCCACAUCCUCUCUGACUCUGACUUGGAAUUACCACUGAGAGCUGAGCAAGGCAGAAUGGAGCUGGGGGAGUAGCUCUAAGGCAAACAAGAUUGCCACAAACAAGCAGAAUGGGAAACAAAGAGAAAUGUUACUGUUGUUUCUUUUGCCACCAACAUCCUAAACCAAAUAACAACCACUAACAUGGGUAACUGUAAAUGCAUUUUUUAAACAAGAAAAAAUGAAUCAUUGACCUUGGACAGAACCAUAUGAUAUUUUCUGUAUACACAAUUUCGCCAAGCUUCAAGAAUAAAGUAGAGAAUGCAGCACAGUC